rnacentral:rRNA from 1 species
GUGCCAGCCGCCGCGGUAAGACGGAGGAGGCAAGCGUUAUCCGGAAUUAUUGGGCGUAAAGGGUCCGCAGGUGGCAGUUCAAGUCUGCAGUCAAAGGUCGGGGCUCAACCCCGGAAAGGCUGUGGAAACUGAACAGCUAGAGUACGGUAGGGGCAGAGGGAAUUCCCAGUGUAGCGGUGAAAUGCGUAGAGAUUGGGAAGAACACCGGUGGCGAAAGCGCUCUGCUAGGCCGAAACUGACACUGAGGGACGAAAGCUAGGGGAGCGAAAGGGAUUAGAUACCCCUGUAGUCCUAGCUGUAAACGAUGGAGACUAGGUGUGGCCUGUAUCGACCCGGGCCGUGCCGGAGCUAACGCGUUAAGUACCCCGCCUGGGGAGUACGCUCGCAAGAGUGAAACUUAAAUGAAUUGGCGGGG